rnacentral:misc_RNA from 1 species
GAUGAAGAACGUAGCGAAAUGCGAUAAGUAAUGUGAAUUGCAGAAUUCAGUGAAUCAUCGAAUCUUUGAACGCACCUUGCGCCUUUUGGUAUUCCGAAAGGCAUGCCUGUUUGAGUGUCAUGAAAUCUCAAUCCUCCUAGGUUUUUGACCUGGUUGGACUUGGACAUGGGCGUCUGCCAGCAAUGGCUCGCCUUAAAUGACUUAGUGGAACAUCCCACAUCAGUGUUAGACGUAAUAAGUUUCGUCUCUCCUUGUGGUGAUGACUGCUCAUAAUCUGCCAUCGCGCACUUUUGACUUUGACCUCAAAUCAGGUAGGGCUACCCGCUGAACUUAAGCAUAUCAAUAAGCGGAGGA